rnacentral:misc_RNA from 1 species
AAUAUAUUAUUUUAUAAAGAUUAACAAAAUGUUGAAUCGUGUCAAAAUGUGUCAAAUGAGUUACGUUGGAUUGUGUCAAAUCAUGUUAAAUAAGUCGACCAUGUCUUUCAAAUUGUCUUAUAUGAGUCGUGUUCUGUCGAAUUAACCUUACAUGAUUUAAUAUUAAACAUGUUGGAUUGUGUGACCCGUAUAAUAAAAGGAUUAUUUUCGUGUUUAGAUUUUCGAAAUUGUGUCAUGUUCGUGUCUACCUUAAUCGUGUUUGUAUUCGUGUCAUAUCAACACAAACAUGACCCACCAACAGCCACCAACCCAAAUUUGCACCCCUAGUCCAUGCAUAGUGUGGGAUCUAGUGAGUUAGUCUAUAAAUUUUGUGUUGCCUUUUUAUUACAUUUUUGGUUCUGUAAAAUAGAAGUUUGAAUUGUUCUAGUAAGCAUUAGAAAUUCAUGUACCUCAUAAAGGUGAAUGGUGGUGUGCAAUUGGUUAGUUCAGUUCUGAGCUAAACCGGACUAACUGAAGAAUCGAUUUACAUGUUAUUAGAGAUCAAACUGAACCAAAGUAAAAGAAAUCAAAUCAAAUGGAACUGAAAAUUUUUGGUUUGCUUCAUUGGUUUACCGAAGCCAAAUGAAAGUGUCCAAAAUCCAAAUUAACAUGCCCAAGGCCAAAACUCAAAUCCCAUCAUCAGGCAUCAACAACAUGCAAUAAAGUAUACAGAAACGUAAAAACAACACUGUUGACCUCAAAAUCUCAAUACCAACCAGAUCAAGAAAAAGAAACAACUAGAAAAAGAAUUUAUUUACAGAUAAAAAAAAAAAGAACCAGCCUUUUUACAAAUGCUUAUAUGUUAUCCAAACUCUAAAAAUUUCACAAUCAAGCAAACCCUAAGUCAAAUAAACUUAAUGCCUGUUCAAGCCGAUGCAUCUGAGCAUGAGAGCAUGAGAGCCGAUGCAUGCAUCUGAGCAUGCCUGUUCAAGCCGAUGCAUCGGCAUCUGGGUCUUCAUAUGGUGAGACACAAUUGUUGUUCUACCUUGUUGCUGGAAGUUUCAACAGAAUCAAAGAUGAGAGCCCGAAGCGUAAAGGACAUGCAGCAGCUAGGGAGGGUUUGCAGGAACAGAACCACAGAUUCCUACCACAGAUCGGCAGAGUCAUUCACGCAAACAGCUGUUAAAGAGCCACAGAUUGGCGAUGGUCAUUUCUACCAGAAAUGAAGAAGAAGAAGAAGAAGA